rnacentral:rRNA from 1 species
UCGGGAAUUUUGCGCAAUGGGCGAAAGCCUGACGCAGCCAUGCCGCGUGAAUGAUGAAGGUCUUAGGAUUGUAAAAUUCUUUCACCGGGGACGAUAAUGACGGUACCCGGAGAAGAAGCCCCGGCUAACUUCGUGCCAGCAGCCGCGGUAAUACGAAGGGGGCUAGCGUUGCUCGGAAUUACUGGGCGUAAAGGGCGCGUAGGCGGACAUUUAAGUCAGGGGUGAAAUCCCAGAGCUCAACUCUGGAACUGCCUUUGAUACUGGGUGUCUUGAGUGUGAGAGAGGUAUGUGGAACUCCGAGUGUAGAGGUGAAAUUCGUAGAUAUUCGGAAGAACACCAGUGGCGAAGGCGACAUACUGGCUCAUUACUGACGCUGAGGCGCGAAAGCGUGGGGAGCAAACAGGAUUAGAUACCCGGGUAGUCCCUGAGCGGGCUGGCAAGGCGCAU